rnacentral:snoRNA from 1 species
UCCAGCCAUAGGAAACUGCCUAGGUUGCCUUGUACCUAGGCAAGUGUUACACUGCUGGGAGAAAAGCAGCCAGUGGCUGGCUGACAUU